CAGCAGCCGCGGUAAUACGGAGGGUGCAAGCGUUAAUCGGAAUUACUGGGCGUAAAGCGUGCGUAGGCGGUUCGUUAAGUCUGUUGUGAAAGCCCCGGGCUCAACCUGGGAAUGGCAAUGGAUACUGGCGAGCUAGAGUGUGUCAGAGGAUGGUGGAAUUCCCGGUGUAGCGGCGAAAUGCGUAGAGAUCGGGAGGAACAUCAGUGGCGAAGGCGGCCAUCUGGGACAACACUGACGCUGAGGCACGAAAGCGUGGGGAGCAAACAGGAUUAGAUACCCCAGUAGUCCCUGUCUCUUAUAC
rnacentral:rRNA from 1 species